GGGCUAUAGCUCAGCUGGGAGAGCGCCUGCUUUGCACGCAGGAGGUCUGCGGUUCGAUCCCGCAUAG
rnacentral:tRNA from 1 species